rnacentral:rRNA from 1 species
AACGGCCACAGGAUUUAAUCGUGCAAAGGUAGCAUAAUCAUUUGUCUUUUAAAUGAAGACCUGUAUGAAUGGCGUAACGAGAGCUUAGCUGUCUCACUCUCUUGGUUAAUGAAAUUGAUCUCCCCGUGCAGAAGCGAGGAUACAAACAUAAGACAAAAAGACCCUAUGGAGCUUUAAAAUAAAAAACAGCACUCAAUCUUAUAAGAUAUAUUACAGCCCCGUUUACUCAUUUUUCGGUUGGGGCGACCAUGGAAAAAAACUAAACCUCCACGAAAAACGUGAAACCUCUACUAAAUCUGAAUGACUAUUCUAAUUUACAGAAUACCUGUUCAUUAUGAUCCGGAAUACCCCGAUUAACGAAACAAGCUACCCUAGGGAUAACAGCGCAAUCCCUUUUUAGAGUCCUCAUCGACAAAGGGGUUUACGACCUCGAUGUUGGAUCAAGACAUCCUUAC